rnacentral:rRNA from 1 species
UUUGGGCAAUGGGCGAAAGCCUGACCCAGCAACGCCGCGUGAGGGAUGAAGUAUUUCGGUAUGUAAACCUCGAAAGAAUGGGAAGAAUAAAUGACGGUACCAUUUAUAAGCUCCGGCUAACUACGUGCCAGCAGCCGCGGUAAUACGUAGGGAGCAAGCGCUGUUCGGAUUUACUGGGCGUAAAGGGCGCGUAGGCGGCGCGGUAAGUCACUUGUGAAAUCUCUGAGCUUAACUCAGAACGGCCAAGUGAUACUGCUGUGCUAGAGUGCGGAAGAGGCAACCGGAAUUCUUGUUGUAGCGGUGAAAUGCGUAGAUAUCAAGAGGAACACCGGAGGCGAAGGCGGGUUGCUGGGCCGACACUGACGCUGAUGCGCGAAAGCCAGGGGA